AUCUUCCUUUUGGCUCUGAUGUUACCAUGGAAGAUUCUGUGGAUUUCACCAAAACUAUUUCUAGAUCUGAAACUAUGGCAGUCUUGAAAACUGUUGGACCCCUUCUCACUGUUCUUCCCCCCAAGCACUCCUCCCCCCUCCUUACUAACCAUGCCUCUGCUCCACCUCGUAGCUUCACUUCCUCCUCUCUCCCUCCCCCUCCGUUGAUGCCUUCCCUCCCACCUGUCCCUCCACGCUCUACUGAAGCUAUGCGCCCCGCUAUUCCUUCAGCCUCCACAGAAACCCAGAACCCCGACCCUCCUACUAACCACACUAAAAAGACUAAUACCCACUCUAAACCCCUACCUCAUCAAUC
rnacentral:lncRNA from 1 species